rnacentral:rRNA from 1 species
UGAGGAACAUGACCUUCGGCGGGGGAGUAGCCGGCCCCAACGGCCGGGUAAUACCGCGUACGACCACAUGGGGACAUCCCUGAGUGGUGAAAGCAGCAGUGCGCCGAUGGAGUGCCUCGCGGCCUAUCAGCUAGUUGGUGAGGUAACGGCUCACCAAGGCAACGAUGCGUAGCCGACCUGGGGAGGGUGAUCGGCCACAUUGGAACUGAGACACGGUCCAGACCUCCGUACGGGAGCA